CAGCAGCUGACUGUGAGUUUGAGUCCGAUCACUGAUUCUGAGGCUCUGACGAGAAGAAAAUGGCCACGCAGUUGAAUCGCCCCGUCACCCCGCCCACUGGAGACAGAGCGAUUAAACGAGUCUGAGAAUAGACACCAGAGUCCGUUAAAGGCUGCUAAUGUCUGUCAGAAGAACCUGAUGGAGCUCAGAAUACUAAUGCUUGACAUGUUUGAGAGCUGAAGAAUAAAAAUCGAUGAAUCUGUGAAUUAUCGAUUCCAGUUAGAAUGAUGGGAAAUAAAUCUCCGGAUUGAAGACGGACAGAGAGAGUGGGGCGUAUCCCAUCAUUCCCAGUCGGCAUGGGAACAGAAUUCAAACUGGUCGGUCCUGUUCCUCGAGCGGUUGUCACGCCGAUCUCAUUUCCGAGAAUGUUCAGAAUGUGUCGAACGCACUCAGAGUUCCUGUGAUUCCCAGGAGCGUUAGCAGCGAUUCACGCGUGUGUCACGUGAUCAAUGAAACCCUGAGAGACUCUGUUCCCAUGAUUCCUCACGGCCUGAAGACUGAAACAUCAUCACUAUCUAGAUAGAUGGGUAGAUAAAUAGAUACAUAGAUAGGAAGAACAAAUCAAAGAAAGAAAGAAAGAUAGAUAUACAGACAGACAAUUGAUAGAUAAAUAGAUAUAUUGAUAGAACGAAAGAUAGAUAGAUACAUAGAUACAAUGAAAGAGAAUGAUAGAUAGAUAGAUACAAUGAAAGA